rnacentral:lncRNA from 1 species
CUCAGUGACAAGAAAGUUACUAAAACACUUCUAUUUUAUUUAUAAUAUCUACAAGAAGGUUGAUGGCUAAAAUGAGCUAUAUAUAUGUGUGUGUGUGUGUAGGUAUAACAAUGCACACAAAAUUAUAUUAUGGAUAUAAUUUGCACUGUUCUUUUUUUGUCUUAGAAUUGAGAUUAUGGCCAGGUGUGGUGGCUCACGUUUGUAAUCUCAGCACUCAAGAGGCUGAGGCAGGAGGGUUUCAGCAAGUUUGAGGCCAGCCUGGGCUGCAUAGUGAGUUCAAGUUCAGCCUGAACUACAUAGUGAGACCCUGUGAUGAAGAAGAAGAAGAAGAGGAAGAAGAAGAGGAAGAAGAGUAGGAAGGGGAAGGAAGAAGAAGAAGGAGAAGAAGAAUUGGGAUUACAUUGGCCUCCUAGAAUGAGUUAAAGACCAUUGCCAAAGGUCAUCCUGUCUCAGGAAAGUCUGCACAGAACUUUCCUGUGGAACAGCUCCUGCAGAAUCGGCACAGGUCUGGACUAUUUGGAUUGUUUCACAGUAAGCAUUGUACUUUUGAUGCUUUUGGUGCAAGUGUGAAAAAAAUUAUAGAGGGGGAAAGUAAAUCCAGCUGUUGGUUAAUCAGGCAAACCACUGUAGUCUUUGAGAUAAGAAAGUCAGAUCUUGGGCAAACUGAGCACGACCCAUGCAAGCAAAGAUGGUGGCAGAUCUGACCAAGAGCUGACCCUAAACUUCCUCAUACCUUCAUAUCCUGCCUUUUGUAACAAAAUCUCCACCCAAAGCAUGGAAAAGGAGGUCGACGUGGCGUGGGGGGAGAUGAGAAGAGAAAAAAGCACUGAGUGUAUGAAAGCCACCAACCCUUCUUCUCUAGAUGAAGUAACUCGUGAAGAACGGAGCCUCAGUCGCCUCACAGCACUGGAGGCUGAGAGGUCCAGGACCAAAGGGCUGCAUCCACUGAGGGCCUCUGUGCUCACGGGAAGCUGAGGCAGCAGGAUCACGAGUGUCAGCCUAGCCUGAGCAACUCAGCGACUUAGCUGGGGAUUUAGCUCAGUGCAGGCCCUGGAAUCAAUUCCUAAUAUAGGACAGGGAAAGGGAGAGAGAACGGGAGUGUUUAAUAAAAUUGAGCUCAAGAUAACUCAUUACCUCACAAACCUGUGAAUCCAUGAAUCCACCGUAUCACUCACUUUCCCACUGCUGGGACAAAAUGCCCAACGCCUACGGCUUAAAGGAGGACAGGUUUAUUUGGCUCAUGGUUUUCUCCAUGGUCAGCUGGCUCCAAGGCAGAAACAAGAUGCUGGAGGGGCGUGGCCAAGGAAAAGAGGCUCCCCUGUGAGCCAGGAAACAGAGAGAGGAGGGAGGAGCCAGGUCACAGCCCAGGGACCCCUUCCUGACAGCACAUUCAGCCUCAAACUCAUCAGUGCACGAAUCCACCUAGGGAACAGCAGCCCGUGAUCCAUCCACCUUCCGCAAACACGAGACACAAACACGGAGAGCGUUUUAGCAUCCAUCAGUGGACAAAUCCAUUCAGAGGUCCUUCUGGGCCCUCCUCGAAGUAUACUUGGAUUCUACUUCAGCAUGGGCUCAGGAGGGCGCGUCCACCCGCUGGCUUCACAGGGCCGCUCUGCACCACAUCUUCUUCCAGGCCCAGCAGCUCCGUCCUGCUUUGGGGACAGUGUGGUCUGACUCUCUGGGUGUCCAAAUUCAGUCAUCCAUAAAGACGUCCACUUCUCAGUGUCUCAGGGCCCCGACGAGCCUCCUCUUGCCUGUGUUCAUGAACUUGAAUGUUGUGCUGCCAGAUGGGCCUCAGGGAACGGCAGAAAUAACAGAGAUUUUGCACAUUUCUUUCUGCCUUCAUUUCCCUUGGAUUUACAGUAAUGCCUUCACUCACAAACUCUUUUGUUCAUGAACAAUUCAGUUGGGUUCGCGAGCAGAAGCAUUCAGCAAAAUUUUGCUUUUGUUCAGGAACUCUGCAUUGUGUGAGGAACACCCAGCCACCGUCCCCAGAUUCGUGGAACAGAUUAAGUUCAUGAACCGAGUUACCACUGUAUUUUAUUUCAGAGCACUGUUAACCAAACUGGGGUUCUCAAAACCUUGUUCACACAAUAUGUUCUUUGAAAAAUGGGUCUGUGUCAGGUGAGUUUGGGAAAGGGCUACAUUCCUCAGGCCCUCCUUGAGCAUUCACCAUUCGCUAUAAAGGCUAUAAAGGCUCUGAGAGGCCUGCAUUAACAAACUUUCCAGGCAAGGGCUUGCCAAGCUUUCAGCACAUGAGGCCCUGGAUGCUGAUUUGUGUCUUCUGUGAAACACAGUUUUAAAAUCCAGGGGACAGACUUUUGUAAAUGCUGCCCCAGCACAAAUAAGCUAUGCAAAACUUUAAAGUCAUAUUGUGAGUCCCUAAAAGAGGAAGAGAGUUUGCAGAGCUAUGGGAAAUGGAAUUCAGCUUACUAAAAAAAAAAAAAAUUACUAUAAACAAAAACCCAGAAAUGAAAUUCAGGGUUUCCCCAGCUCCAUUCACUCCAGGCUACCCCAAGGAACAUUCUACACCCAAUUCCCUUUCUUCACUGUAGACUCAUAACAAAGGACAAAGAGUUAGGACAAAGAGCAAGGGAGGAAUUCAAUGGGCUAGCAAAGUGAUAUAGCCACAUUCUAUAUUCAUGUUAUUCCUAUUUUUCAAGAUAUCAUCCCAUAGGGCUAUCACUUGACCUCUCUGUGAUGCCCUAUCUCAUCUGUAAAAUGGGAUAGAAUGAAGAUCCACCUCACCAACAGUAAUGAGGAAGAAUGAUUUAAUGAACAUCAAACAUUUAGAAUAAUAACAUACUGGAAGAGUCCAAGUUUGAACCAAGCCUGGGCAACUUAGUGACUUAUUGA